rnacentral:rRNA from 1 species
AACGAACGCUGGCGGCAUGCCUAACACAUGCAAGUCGAACGAGACCUUCGGGUCUAGUGGCGCACGGGUGCGUAACGCGUGGGAACCUGCCCUUAGGUUCGGAAUAACUCCCCGAAAGGGGUGCUAAUACCGGAUAAUGUCUUCGGACCAAAGAUUUAUCGCCUUUGGAUGGGCCCGCGUUGGAUUAGCUAGUUGGUAGUGUAAAAGCCUACCAAGGCGACGAUCCAUAGCUGGUCUGAGAGGAUGAUCAGCCACACUGGGACUGAGACACGGCCCAGACUCCUACGGGAGGCAGCAGUGGGGAAUAUUGGACAAUGGGCGAAAGCCUGAUCCAGCAAUGCCGCGUGAGUGAUGAAGGCCUUAGGGUUGUAAAGCUCUUUUACCCGGGAUGAUACUGACAGUACCGGGAGAAUAAGCUCCGGCUAACUCCGUG